GCCAGGCAUGGUGGCUCACGCCUGUAAUCCCAGCACUUUGGGAGGCUGAGGCGGGGGGAUCACUUGAGGUCAGGAGUUUGAGACCAGCCUGGCCAACAUAGUGAAACCCCGUCUCUA
rnacentral:SRP_RNA from 1 species